AAUGAAGUGGAUAUAAUUUGAAUACAUGUCUCUCCAUUCUUGGGAUGUGUCAAAAAGUGUCAUUAAUCCUAACGCCUUUCGGGUGAAAUGUUUGGUUUGGAGAAGGAAGCUGUGGUGUAUCAGGAGGCCGUGUGUGUUACGACCAGGGCGGAAAUAUGGUCGCACCCACCACGGGCCUAUCUUCAACCCUUUACGCCUUACGGAAAAUAUUAUUACCUUAGAGUUACGACUUGCAAUAGCUACAGUGGGAUAACUUACUUUCAGUAAGCCACAAAGCCACGUCAAGAUGACAUCCAGUUCAGUGAGGUUUCCGAGAAACCUUCGUGGUCAGAUAGUGUGGCAUUAUGAGGGACAAAACUGGGCAUCCAGCUAUUACGAACACAUUUUAAUUAUAACAAUCAACCGUUAUUUAAAUUUUAUUAGUGAAUUUCUUAGUGAUUAACUAUGUAAUGAGACAUCAUCAAGAAAACUGUUACGUUAUUUGGAAUUUAUUAUUCAAUUUUCUCCAUAUUUUCAGUUUCCUCUAUAAUAUAUUUAAGAAAGUCUUUUUAUUAACAGCUGAAAAAACACUGAUAAAAAAAC
rnacentral:lncRNA from 1 species